UGUGUGUGUGUGUGUGUGUAUAUGUAUAUAUAUAUAUAUAUAUAUAUAUAUAUAUAUAUAUACACAUACAAUAUACACAGA